rnacentral:rRNA from 1 species
ACGGAAGGCAGCAGUGGGGAAUAUUGGGCAAUGGGCGAAAGCCUGACCCAGCAACGCCGCGUGAAGGAAGAAGGUCUUCGGAUUGUAAACUUCUUUUAUGAGGGACGAAGGACGUGACGGUACCUCAUGAAUAAGCCACGGCUAACUACGUGCCAGCAGCCGCGGUAAUACGUAGGUGGCGAGCGUUAUCCGGAUUUAUUGGGUUUAAAGGGAGCGUAGGCGGGAUGUCAAGUCAGCUGUGAAAUGUAGUCGCUCAACGUCUGCACUGCAGUUGAAACUGGUGUUCUUGAGUGCGUAAGAGGCAGGUGGAAUUCGUCGUGUAGCGGUGAAAUGCAUAGAUAUGACGAAGAACUCCGAUUGCGAAGGCAGCCUGCUGGGCCGCUACUGACGCUGAAGCUCGAAGGUGCGGGUAUCAAACAGGAUUAGAUACCCUGGUA